rnacentral:lncRNA from 1 species
CAAAACCCCUAUAGACUCCUAUGGGAUCCCUAGAGGACCCCCUACAAAAACCCUAUAGACCCUAUAGGACCCCUAUGGGACCCCUACAAAACCCCCAUAAACCCCUGUGGGAUCCCUAUAGGACCCCUACAGACCCCUACAGAAUCCCUAUGGGACCCCUACAAAACCCCUACAGACUCCUAUGGGACUCCUGUUGAAACCUGUAUGGGUCCAAAAACCCUAUAGACCCCAUAGACCCUAUGGGAUCCCUAUAGGACCCCUGUAGACCCGUAUGGGACCCCUAUAGGACCCCUACAAAACCCCCAUAAACCCCUAUGGGACCCCUAUAGGACCCCUACAAAACCCCUAUAGACUCCUAUGGGACUUCUGUAGAACCUCUAUGGGACCAAAACCCCUAUAGACCCUAUAGACCGUAUGGGAUCCCUAUAGGACCCCUAUAGACCCCUAUAGACCCUAGGGGACCCUUACAAAACCCCCAAAACCCCUAUGGGACCCCUAUAGGAUCCCUAUAGACCCCUAUGGGACCCCUACAAAACCCCUAUAGACUCCUAUGGGACCGCUAUGGGACCCUUACAAAACCCCCAUAAACCCCUAUGGGAUCUAUGGGACCCCUAUAGACCCCUAUGGGACCCCGACAGAAUCCAUACAGGACCCCUACAAAACCCCUACAGACUCCUAUGGGACUCCAGUAGAACCUCUAUGGGACCAAGACCCCUAUAGACCCUAUGGGAUCCCUAUAGGACCCCUAUAGACCCCUAUGGGACCCUUACAAAACCCCCAUAAACUGCUAUGGGACCCCGACAGAAUCCCUACAGGACCCCUACAAAACCCUUAUAGACUCCUAUGGGACUCCUGUAGAACCUCUAUAGCACCCCUAUAGGAUCCCCUACAAAACCCCUAUAGACCCUAUGGGACCCCUUUGGAAUCCCUACAAACCCCUAUAGACUCCUAUGGGACCCCUGUAAAACCUCUAUGGGACCAAAACUCCUAUAGACCCUAUGGGAUCCCUAUAGACCCCUAUAGACCCCUAUGGGACCCCGACAAAACCCCCAUAAACCCCUAUGGGACCCCUACAGAACCCCUAUAGGACCCUAUAGACCCCUAUGGGACCCCGACAAAACCCCUACAGACUCCUAUGGGACUCCUAUAGGACCCCUAUAGACCCCUACGGGACCCCUACAAAACCCCUAUAGAUUCCUAUGCGACUCCUGUAAAACCUCUAUGGGAUCCUUAUAGGAUACCUACAAAACCCCUAUAGACCCUACAGACCCCUAUGGGACCCCUAUAGACUCCUAUGGGACCCCUGUAGAACCUCUAUGGGACCAAAACUCCUAUAGACCCCUAUGGGACCCCUACAAAACCCCCAUAAACCCCUACGGGACCCCUACAGGACCCCCUACAAAACCCCUAUAAACCCCUAUGGGACUCCUAUGGGACCCUUACAAAACCCCCCAUAAACCCCUAUAAACCCCUACAGGACCCCUACAAAACCCCUAUAGACUCCUAUGGGACCCC